AUAGGUGGAGCAUGCAGUGAUCACCUCAGGCACCUCAGCUGAAGGCAUCUGGCCCUGGCUCCAUCCUGGGGAGUGAUGGAUGAGCACCAAACCUCAGCAGAUUUCCUGCACCUUCUGCUGCAGCACCACAAAUCUAUCAAAUGCCAAUGGGGCGCCUGCAGGGACGUGGCAAAGAUCGCAUACUUCUACAAGGAAUCUUUUAGAGGCUCCCAAGAACCACGCGGCAAAUGAUUUUUUCCAUGUGAGGUUGCAGCCUUUCCACUGCCCAGCCAUGAUCCGAUGCUGGAAAAUGGCUCCGUUUGAGAAAGGGAGAUCUUCCAGUGGGUUGGAAGAAGCACCACCCUCCACCUCAGCAGGAGAAAGAUGUUCAGCCAAGGAAGGCAUGGCUCAUUAUCUGUUGAAGAAGUAUUCAUUUAGCUCAGGUGUUGAUGGGUCUCAGUAAAUUCCCAAAUAGAAAAAUCAUCCACUGCUCCUCCAGUCCCCACCGUGGUUCACCCAAUCCUUCCUCUCUGCUGAGGCUGGUUAAUUCAGUUCAUAUUCACUCAUGACUGAGCAACGAUAUAGAAAAAUGUAGUAUGUAAUGGGAACAGUGAACUGUCACCUCACAUGGCUUGGUACCAAGGAGGCUCCUAAUUAUAGCCUGAUGUGUACAUCCUCCUGGAAGAUGACUGUACUUAUUUGAACCAGUACAAUAUUAAUUAAAUACUUUGAUUAUUUCUGAAACAGGCUUUGGGAUGGAGAGGGAGAGAGGUUCAAGGGAACUAACCUUUCCACUGCUGCGAGUAAAGAUUUUUUUUCCUAGCAACUCAACUGCAGCUGAGAGCUAAAUACGGGAUUUCCUCUUCAUUUCCCCUUUCCUCCUGUCUCUGACACACUCCCGUGCAGUCUCCCAUCGUGGUCUGCUUGCCCUUAGUCUCCCCUGGCUCUGUGGCCAUGCCAAGUCCCCAGUAUUCUGCCUCCCCAGGCAGGCAGAAGCCCAGCAGGGAGGGAUGAAGGCUCUUGUCUGAGAGCAGAGUCCGCAGCUACAUGACCUUCUGUGCUUGCAGUAUUCCCAGUGGUACCUGUCUGCAGAAAGGCCAGGAACAGCCAGCUUCCCGCUCUUACACUGGGUUUCCAGCAGCUUCCAAGACCCAACACAAAGCAGCAUCACUGCACACAGGAGGCACAAACCAAGAUCAGGAGGUGCAAAGAAAACAAGGGAAGUGUCACAUGAUUAACUCUUCAAACCACGAUAAAUCUUCAGAUCUCACAAGGCACAAAGCUUUGCUCAGGCUCUGCUGCAGGCACUCCAGGAGUGAU
rnacentral:lncRNA from 1 species